AGGUUUUUCCCUCACCAAUUGAGCAGUUGGCUAAAUGAAGAUACAUCUUGACCUUAAGGAUUCAGUCAGUUCAAGGCUCUUUAUCUUCUCCUAGGAACAGACAACAGAUGUGGCCACUGUUUUAAUGGGGAGAAACUGAAAAUACAGAAGUAAAUAAAUAAACCACAUAAUUUCAGAGACUGCUGAGAGCUGUGAGGACAAUGACAAAUCCCUGGGUCACUUUGCCAUGCUUCACGAUGCUCUAUACAGUGAUUGGCAGCCAGAUGCCUAUCUUCCAGGGUUACUGUAAUAGGUAAUUAAGAUAACAUCGUUUUGGACACAGUGCCUGGUACACAG